AGUCAUCUGAGUUGUUCGUAAGUUUGCUUUUUAAUUUGGGCCUAACACUCUUUGAUCAAGGGAGCCCAAUGGGUUUUCUUGCAGCGUACACGCCUUAUAUGAAGGACGUACAAAACAAGAAACAGGGCACCCACCUGUAU
rnacentral:sRNA from 1 species